rnacentral:rRNA from 1 species
CAGCCCCACGGUAAUACGUAGGGGGCUAGCGUUGUUCGGAUUUACUGGACGUAAAGGGCGCGUAGGCGGACUGAUAAGUCAGGAGUGAAAUCCCAAGGCUCAACCUUGGAACUGCCUUUGAUACUGUUUGUCUUGAGUUCGAGAGAGGUAAGUGGAACUGCGAGUGUAGAGGUGAAAUUCGUAGAUAUUCGCAAGAACACCAGUGGCGAAGGCGGCUUACUGGCUCGAAACUGACGCUGAGGCGCGAAAGCGUGGGGAGCAAACAGGAUUAGAUACCCCCGUAGUCCCUGUCUCUUAUACA